rnacentral:rRNA from 1 species
UACGGAGGGUGCAAGCGUUAAUCGGAAUUACUGGGCGUAAAGCGCACGUAGGUGGUUUUUCUAAGUCAGCUGUGAAAUCCCCGGGCUCAACCUGGGACUUGCAGUUGAAACUGGAAAGCUAAGAGUAGGGUAGAGGGGUGUGGAAUUCCAGGUGUAGCGGUGAAAAUGCGUAGAUAUCUGGAGGAACAUCAGUGGCGAAGGCGACACCCUGGACUCAUACUGACACUGAGGUGCGAAAGCGUGGGGAG